rnacentral:rRNA from 1 species
GUGGGGAAUAUUGCACAAUGGGCGAAAGCCUGAUGCAGCAACGCCGCGUGAAGGAUGAAGGUCUUCGGAUCGUAAACUUCUGUCCUUGGGGAAGAAGAUCUGACGGUACCCAUGGAGGAAGCCCCGGCUAACUACGUGCCAGCAGCCGCGGUAAUACGUAGGGGGCAAGCGUUAUCCGGAAUUAUUGGGCGUAAAGAGUGCGUAGGUGGUUCUUUAAGCGAGAGGUUUAAGGCGAUGGCUUAACUAUCGUUCGCCUCCCGAACUGAAGGACUUGAGUGCAGGAGAGGAAAGCGGAAUUCCUAGUGUAGCGGUGAAAUGCGUAGAUAUUAGGAGGAACACCAGUGGCGAAGGCGGCUUUCUGGACUGAAACUGACACUGAGGCACGAAAGCGUGGGGAGCAAACAGG